GUGGGGAAUAUUGGGCAAUGGGCGCAAGCCUGACCCAGCAACGCCGCGUGAAGGAAGAAGGCUUUCGGGUUGUAAACUUCUUUUACCAGGGACGAAACAAAUGACGGUACCUGGUGAAUAAGCCACGGCUAACUACGUGCCAGCAGCCGCGGUAAUACGUAGGUGGCGAGCGUUAUCCGGAUUUAUUGGGUGUAAAGGGCGUGUAGGCGGGACAGCAAGUCAGAUGUGAAAACCAGAGGCUCAACCUCUGGCCUGCAUUUGAAACUGUUGUUCUUGAGUGUCGGAGAGGUAAUCGGAAUUCCGUGUGUAGCGGUGAAAUGCGUAGAUAUACGGAGGAACACCAGUGGCGAAGGCGGAUUACUGGACGAUAAUUGACGCUGAGGCGCGAAAGCGUGGGGAGCAAACAGGAUUAGAUACCCCAGUAGUCC
rnacentral:rRNA from 1 species